rnacentral:rRNA from 1 species
AGUGAACGCUGGCGGUAGGCCUAACACAUGCAAGUCGAACGGCAGCACAGUAAGAGCUUGCUCUUACGGGUGGCGAGUGGCGGACGGGUGAGGAAUACAUCGGAAUCUACUUUUUCGUGGGGGAUAACGUAGGGAAACUUACGCUAAUACCGCAUACGACCUACGGGUGAAAGCAGGGGAUCUUCGGACCUUGCGCGAUUGAAUGAGCCGAUGUCGGAUUAGCUAGUUGGCGGGGUAAAGGCCCACCAAGGCGACGAUCCGUAGCUGGUCUGAGAGGAGGAUCAGCCACACUGGAACUGAGACACGGUCCCGACUCCUACGGGAGGCAGCAGUGGGGAAUAUUGGACAAUGGGCGCAAGCCUGAUCCAGCCAUACCGCGUGGGUGAAGAAGGCCUUCGGGUUGUAAAGCCCUUUUGUUGGGAAAGAAAAGCAGCAGGUUAAUACCCCGCUGUUCUGACGGUACCCAAAGAAUAAGCACCGGCUAACUUCGUG